rnacentral:rRNA from 1 species
GCUAUUAAAUUAUGGCCGUAUUUGUAAAAUGUUACCACAAGUAAUAUAUGUAUUUUAAUUUAUUUUAUUCAAAAUCGUUAUUUAACAACACAUUUAAUAAUAAAUCAGUUAUGGUUCCUUAGAUCGUUAACAGUUACUUGGAUAACUGUGGUAAAUCUAGAGCUAAUAUAUGCAAUUAAAACACGGACCUUCUGGGACGUGUGUUUUUAUUAGACUAAAAGCAAGCGAUCAAUUGAUCGUUAUAUUGGUUGAACUGUAGAUAACAUGCAGAUCGUAUGGUCUUGUACCGACGACAGAUCUUUCAAAUGUCUGCCCUAUCAACUUUUGAUGAUAGUAUCUAGGACUACCAUGGUUGCAAUGGGUAACGGGGAAUCAGGGUUCGAUUUCGGAGAGGGAGCCUGAGAAGCGGCUACCACAUCUAAGGAAGGCAGCAGGCGCGUAAAUUACCCACUCCCAGCUCGGGGAGGUAGUGACGAAAAAUAACAAUACAGGACUCAUAUCCGAGGCCCUGUAAUUGGAAUGAGUACACUUUAAAUCCUUUAACAAGGACCAAGUUGAGGGCAAGUCUGGUGCCAGCAGCCGCGGUAAUUCCAGCUCCAAUAGCUUAUAUUAAAGUUGUUGCGGUUAAAACGUUCGUAGUUGAACUUGUGCUUCAUACGGGUAGUACAACAUACAUUUGUAGUGAGUACUAUACCUUUAUGUAUGUAAGCGUAUUAUGGGUGGAGUUCUUAUAUGUAAUUAAGUACUUGUACUUUUAAAUAUAUUCCUCCUAUUUAAAAACCUACAUUAGUGCUCUUAAUCGAGUGUUUUUGUGGCCAGGUACAAUUACUUUGAACAAAUUAGAGUGCUUAAAGCAGGCUUCAAAUGCCAGAAUAUUCUGUGCAUGGGAUAAUGAAAUAAGACCUCUGUUCUGCUUUCAUUGGAUUUCAGAUCAAGAGGUAAUGAUUAAUAGAAGCAGUUUGGGGGCAUUAGUAUUACGACGCGAGAGGUGAAAUUCUUGUACCGUCGUAAGACUAACUUAAGCGAAAGCAUUUGCCAAAGAUGUUUUCAUUAAUCAAGAACGAAAGUUAGAGGUUCGAAGGCGAUCAGAUACCGCCCUAGUUCUAACCAUAAACGAUGCCAGCUAGCAAUUGGGUGUAGCUACUUUUAUGGCUCUCUCAGUCGCUUCCCGGGAAACCAAAGCUUUUGGGCUCCGGGGGAAGUAUGGUUGCAAAGCUGAAACUUAAAGGAAUUGACGAAAGGGCACCACCAGGAGUGGAGCCUGCGGCUUAAUUUGACUCAACACGGGAAAA